UAAUUUGUAAUUUAUUUAUUAACACUACGAUACCCUGUUGGCAGUGAUACCUUAUUUCAGGUCAAGGAGAGGAAAAACAACCGGAAAAUUUUACAUUUUAAUUUCCACGUUUUAAAGGCGUUCGUUGGCCAGUCGGUGUUCUUCCAAACACCGGUUUUAAUGAUUGAUACCAUGUCCAUUGGACUCCCGCACAGGUACGAGCCGUGGUGCCCAUAAAAAUUGAUGAACUGGUUGGUUUGGUGCACGAAAAUACUGCAGGAGCAACAAAUCAUCAUGUCCAGCUAGCAAGGCUCCAAAAUAAUGGAUUUUUCCCGGAUUUUUCAGUUCCGUCUGCACCGAAGUUUUAUCAGCGUGAUAAGCAACAACCGGAGGAGUGAAUUACAUGGUUGGUCAUUUCGAAAACUUCAAAGAACCCCAGCCCGAAUCCGAUGUCAGUCCCGAGAUGUGUCGGCCGUUAUCCAGGAAGAAAAUUUAUUAUUCUAGAGUAUUUCAAAUAUGUAAUAGCUUUAAAAUAUAUAGAAAUAAACUAUAAAAUGAA